CCUACGGGCGGCAGCAGUGGGGAAUAUUGCACAAUGGGCGCAAGCCUGAUGCAGCCAUGCCGCGUGUGUGAAGAAGGCCUUCGGGUUGUAAAGCACUUUCAGCGGGGAGGAAGGCGGUGAGGUUAAUAACCUCAUCGAUUGACGUUACCCGCAGAAGAAGCACCGGCUAACUCCGUGCCAGCAGCCGCGGUAAUACGGAGGGUGCAAGCGUUAAUCGGAAUUACUGGGCGUAAAGCGCACGCAGGCGGUCUGUCAAGUCGGAUGUGAAAUCCCCGGGCUCAACCCGGGAACUGCAUUCGAAACUGGCAGGCUAGAGUCUUGUAGAGGGGGGUAGAAUUCCAGGUGUAGCGGUGAAAUGCGUAGAGAUCUGGAGGAAUACCGGUGGCGAAGGCGGCCCCCUGGACAAAGACUGACGCUCAGGUGCGAAAGCGUGGGGAGCAAACAGGAUUAGAAACCCUAGUAGUC
rnacentral:rRNA from 1 species